UUGCCCUUUGCUAAGAAGCUUUAUUUUUUUUACCAUUGAAAUUGAAAACAAUCACAGGAAGGAACUUAAUUGUUACCUAGAAAUUAUUUGAUAUUGAGGUAACGUUUGCAUUGGACCCUUAAUAAACUAUAAUGAGAAGUGGCUGGACAUAACAUCUACAUUAUAUAUGUACGGAGUUGGUAGCAGUUGCAAGGAGAUCUGUUCUCCUAAAUUACAGCAAUACUGCUCUCUGGUGGACAGAUGUUUUAUAGCAUUUGUUUACGUAUGGUUACAUGAGCAAUGCAAAACACAAGUUCAUCAAAUGAUGACUACUGCAUUUCAUACAAAAGAGGACUUAAGUCCUAAUCUUCUCAAAGUCCAACAUAUAGUGUAGGUUCAUCACAAAGCCUGUACACUGGGAUAUUUUAACACAAAGGGGAAUCAAAAUGAUACAGAAUAUAAUUGAAAAAUACAAACUAAAAAAGCACAUGGAUCAUCACUGUGCAGCCUAUAUUCUCUCUCUCCAAGACAAAAAAAUAAUGCGAGAAACGAUUAGAAAACAGGAAAAAAAAGUUACAUUUCAUAAUAGAAAGAAAUCGAACAUUUUAUGUACACUUCUUGUUCUUGAGCUAGGAGGCAGUUUUAUUUCUACUUUGCACAUUUUUCCAUUGCAAAUCUACCAUUCCAGUGUUUUACUUGCUAUACUGUAUUUACUUUGCCACCAUGGCCUUUUUUUGCCUUUACCUCCCUUCUCACCUAAUUUGCUCACAUCGUAUAUAGACUUAUUUCUACUGUAUGUUUGUUUUACUCCAUGUGUAACUCUGUCAUUGUAUGUGUCGAACUGCUUUGCUUUAUCUUGGCCAGGUCGCAAUUGUAAAUGAGAACGUGUUCUCAACUUGCCUACCUGGUUAAAUAAAGGUGAAAUAAAAAAUAAAUAAAUAAAAUAGUGCAAACGCAUUAGUUAUCUGCUUAGGAACUGUGACCUUGCUCUGCCAGACAACAUACGUUGUCCAUAGAGGCCCGAGGAGCACGUUGCUCGAAGGAUUUGCAACGCAGUGUGAAACAACUGCGGAGCACAAGUGUUGGAGAGUAGGCUGGACUACACAGGGGAACUGGAUCCUCCUGACCCAUUGACCCGAUUGCCUCAGCUCAAACAUCUCAUCAGACAGAUGGUCAGAGACCUGGGCAUCAGAUGUCCCUCUGCUCCACCAACACAUGAGUGCGCCACUGAGUUCAUCACUUCACCACAGAGACCUGGCUGGAGCAAGGCCUAGCAAGCAAGACUACAGUACAAAUGAUGGGUAGGGGAGUAACACAAACUGUCCUUAAUCAGUUAUUAUUCCAGCUAAACUAUUGUAAACAGAGUACAAAUCCUUUUGAAAAAUUACAUUGCUUCUUGGAUUACUUUUAAUAUCAGAAAAAAAAUACAUUAUGACACCUUUUCAGUUUUCUUAAUGACAGUCAAUUCAGCAUUUUUUUUAAAAAAGGCCCAAGUUUAAGUUUGUUCCAACUGAGCAAGUCUGACCGGAUGUCAGAGACCACUAUGAUGACACACCAAAUGAUGACCACCAAUCAAAGACCACUAUGAUGACACACCAAAUGAUGACCACCAAUCAGAGACCCCUAUGAUGACACACCAAAUGCAUUUGAUGGAUCUUUUUCUGUCUUCUGUCCAAAAGUAACUGAAAGUAAUCAGAUUGAUAAUGAGUUUGGAUAAUCCAAAAGUUACGUAACUGAUUAAAAUUGUGGACAGGUAACUGUAACGGAUUACAUUGUUGAAGGUAACAUAUAGUCCACAACCCUGUGUGUGGGUUACAUGGACAGAGAUGUUAACAGGGGAUUCCUGAGAUACCUGCUACUACUGACAAUUCAGGAAUCAACAAUAUGAAAUGUCUGGCAACCUGCAUUCCUGCCAUGGUGAUGAAGGAUGGAUAGGACAGGCUACUUUUCUAAAAUGCAAGAAAAAUAAGAACAGAACAUAACCGUGUUUAACACUUUUAGUUUAGUUUUUAUUAAUUUGACCAUUUAAAAAAAAAAGCAAGCACACAUAAAACUUAAAAGCCAUACAUGAAACGUAGGUUUUUGAUUGUAAGUCAACCCCUCCUAAUAAUAUAGUUCUUGCAAUUAAAUGUAAAACAUGGUGAAUACUUUGUUUUUGCUAACAUAAAUAAUCUAUAUCUAACAGGGCUUUAUGAUUGGAUGGUUUUGCUGAAAGGUUCAAAUGUAGACCACUGUAGGCUUUUUCUUCUACAGUUCUAUUAAAUGUUUAUAUAACAUUACACAUGUUUGUUCAAUGUAAGCACAAAUGUAUCUAAUCCUAUGUUUCAAAUGCAUAUUUUUUUAUUAGUGUUUCAAUUAAAUGUAUUUGGAAAAAAAAUCGCUUAAUAAUUAUGUUUUAAGAUCAUAAAAAUAAGGGUCACACUUUGUUUGGAUAGUCCGGAUUUUCCAUCUGUAGAUGCUCUACAGAUAGUUUGGCCAUCUGUUGAUAAGGCUAAGGUUAGGUUUAGAAUAAGGUUAGGGUUGGAGCUAGGGGUAGCGUUAGUAGAUGGUUAGUUGAAAUGUUACUGAUAGUCUGUAGAUUGUCUACAGAUAGUUUGGCCAUCUGUUGAUAAGGCUAAGGUUAGGUUUAGAAUAAGGUUAGGGUUGGAGCUAGGGGUAGCGUUAGUAGAUGGUUAGUUGAAAUGUUACUGAUAGUCUGUAGAGUGUCUACAGAUAGUUUGGCCAUCUGUUGAUAAGCAACUGCUUGCUAAGGUUAGGUUUAGAAUAAGGUUAGGGUUGGAGCUAGGGGUAGCGUUAGUAGAUGGUUAGUUGAAAUGUUACUGAUAGUCUGUAGAGUGUCUACAGAUGGACAAUACAAAAAGUUAUACAAAAAAACAAGUCAUUUUUAAAAGGAGGGGAAAUAUUUUCAUAUUUGCAAAUAUUGUCCUGUCUUUUGAAUGUCCAGAAUGUUCUUGAGAAUAGAUGGUAUCUUUUCUAUUGUCCUUUUUAAUAACAAAUGUUUCUUUCCUCAUAGAUAUUGACGUAGUAUAGUAUACAAAGUUAUUUAGAGGAGAUUGCCAAUAUUCAUACUUUUACAAACAAACUGUAUAUUUUGUAAAUUGUACUACUCUGUUAAGAUAUUUCUCUUUGAUUUAAAUAUUUAGUUGUGAUGUUCGUUUUUUCUUAUUAUUUCAUGCGGGCACUAUGCUCUUAUUCUUUUAUAUAUUGUGAUUCAGAAUUUAAUUUAUCUUUUUUUGAUUGCAUCUUUGUAAUCAGUAAGUGUAUAGCACGUAUUCCAUAGAGUAUAGGACUGUGUCACAGUAUAUUUAGUACUGAUAUACUCAGUACAUUGCCUGUGUAUCCUUCCCUGGUGGGUAGAACUAGAGGGUGUGUGUGUGUGUGUGUGUGUGUGUGUGUGUGUGUGUGUGUGUGUGUGUGUGUGUGUGUGUGUGUGUGUGUGUGUGUGUGUGUGUGUGUGUGUGUGUGUGUGUGUGUUGACUGAAGAGCAGUGGGGGGAAAGCAGAUGGAGCCAGCCCAGCAUAUGGCCCCACAGUGUGUAGUCAGAAGGCUCUGGAGUCCCUUAUGGCAGUGCCACCUCUGCGUUUCCUUGUACCAUAUCAGGAAUAUUACUUUGGUUUCUUUCUAUUGUGCAUUUUCUUAAUCUUUGCAUGUGAAAUGGGUAUUUUUAUUUAUCCUUUAUUUAACUAGGCAAGUAAGUUAAGAACAAAUUCUGGUCAACAAUGACGGCCUACCCCGGCCAAACCCUGACGAUGGGCCAAUUGUGCGCAGCCCUAUGGGACUCCCAAUCAUGGCUGGUUGUGAUACAGCCUGGAAUCAAACCAGGGUCUGUAGUGACUCCUCUGCACUGAGAUGCAGUGCCUUAGACCACUGCGCCACUGGAGCCGCAAAUUGAUGUUUAAUGUGACCCAUUUCAGAAUGAUUUGUUUUUCCUUGCUGUUUGUUUCAAUGGUUAAUAAUACUUUAUACGUCAGCUGCUUGCUAAGGUCGGGUUUAGAAUAAGGUUAGGGUUGGAGGUAGGGUUAGUAGAUGGUGUCACUCCCCGCACCGGAACAUCAAUAUAGGUGCAUUUAAUUAUUAUUCCCCAAGUUUCUAGCAACAUUAGCUUGCUACUGAUGGUAUUAGCUAUGCAGAUACUAAGCAUAACUGACAAGGAUUCAUUAAUUUGAAGUACCAGAGAUCUAUACAAUCUUGCUAGCUACCGAGCUCACUCCUCGCAACGAGCGCGAGGUUCUCGCUGUCUGUUGGUUUCACUGCUUUGCGCAUCCGGUCGUCUCUGCCCACCUCACUCACUUCUGGUGAGUUUUUCACUUUAGCUGUUUUAGUAAACGCAUCAACUCCCCUCAUUAAGCUAACUUCCCGCAUUUUAAUUACAUUUUAAUUAACAGCCAUUUAACCAGAAAUGUCAAAUUCUUGCACAUUCUACUCAUUUAUUUAACUAGAAAAGUCCGUUAAGAACAAUUUACAAUGACAGCCUUCCCCGGCCAAACCCCGACGCUGGGCAAAUUGUGUGCCGCCCUAUGGGACUCCCAAUCAUGGCUGGUUGUGAUACAGCCUGGAAUCAAACCAGGGUCUGUAGUGACUCCUCUGCACUGAGAUGCAGUGCCUUAGACCACUGCGCCACUGGAGCCGCAAAUUGAUGUUUAAUGUGACCCAUUUCAGAAUGAUUUGUUUUUCCUUCCUGUUUGUUUCAAUGGUUAAUAAUAUUUUAUAUUGCAGCUGUAUGUUGGCAGCGUCAGACUUAUCAAUGUAUGUUUUUUAAUGUAAUUAAUUUAGUCAUGAGAGGACUGAGAUUUAGCUUUACCCAGGACCCAACACUGGAAUUGUGCUAUUUUUGUUUAAUAAAUAAUUAUUUAAGAUUUCCAUGCAAGAAAAUAAACCUUUUUAUUUAUCGAAAUUA